CCACUUUUUUGGUGGGGGUGCUCGAGUGGCGAACGGGUGAGUAACACGUGGGUGAUCUGCCCUGUACUUCGGGAUAAGCUUGGGAAACUGGGUCUAAUACCGGAUAGGACCAUGGUUUAGUGUCUCAUGGUGGAAAGAUUAUUGUUUUGGUGCAGGAUGAGCUCGCGGCCUAUCAGCUUGUUGGUGGGGUAAUGGCCUACCAAGGCGUCGACGGGUAGCCGGCCUGAGAGGGUGGACGGCCACAUUGGGACUGAGAUACGGCCCAGACUCCUACGGGAGGCAGCAGUGGGGAAUAUUGCACAAUGGGCGCAAGCCUGAUGCAGCGACGCCGCGUGGGGGAUGACGGCCUUCGGGUUGUAAACUCCUUUCGUUAGGGACGAAGCCACACCUUUUUUGGGUGUGGUGACGGUACCUUUGUUAAGAAGCACCGGCUAACUACGUGCCAGCAGCCGCGGUAAUACGUAGGGUGCGAGCGUUGUCCGGAAUUACUGGGCGUAAAGAGCUCGUAGGUGGUUUGUUGCGUCGUCUGUGAAAUUCCGGGGCUUAACUUCGGGGUGGCAGGCGAUACGGGCAUAACUAGAGUGCUGUAGGGGAGACUGGAAUUCCUGGUGUAGCGGUGGAAUGCGCAGAUAUCAGGAGGAACACCGAUGGCGAAGGCAGGUCUCUGGGCAGUAACUGACGCUGAGGAGCGAAAGCAUGGGGAGCGAACAGGAUUAGAUACCCUGGUAGUCCAUGCUGUAAACGGUGGGCGUUAGGUGUGGGGACCGGUUUGGUUUCUGUGCCGUAGCUAACGCAUUAAGUGCCCCGCCUGGGGAGUACGGCCGCAAGGCUA
rnacentral:rRNA from 1 species